CCAGUCCUACCGGGUACUUUCUUCCUUAGGCAAUACGGAGUCUAUUUUCCAAGCCUGAAACAACUGUAUUUAGUAAAGAGAGGGGCUUUUUCGAUAUGCUCUGAGAGAGCAAAGUGAGUUUGACAUUCAAUCUUUCGACGAGUCUCCAUAUCCAAUCUGCGAUUUUGUGCCUACUUCUUUCACUAGGAUUUAUGGCACCUGCAUUCCUCUGCAAGAAAGAAUCGACGUAAGGGGCCUUUAAAAGGGAAUUCGUUAGGGUUAUUCACGCGGUUUCUACUCCUUAGGAGUUCGAGGAAAUGUGGGAAUAGAUUAUGCCCCCGGAUACCCUAUCCGACGCUUCGAAACUAUCCUCUCCAGGUCAUGCAAGCGAGACUCCUGCGUCAAGGUUUGAUGAAUAUACACGAGCCUGCACUUGAUCUAAAGCAAUGAUCUGGGCUAUCCCAGAUAUCUGGAGUGAAAAGAAAGAGUAGAGAAAAAUCCAGCCUAUUCUAUUAUUCUUCUGGUUGGUCGGUUUAGCCAUUCCUCCAUCCAUCACAUCCAUGGCCGCUUUCGUAGUAGGUGCGAUUCAACCAUCCUAGACUCGUGGCGCAUUCGAGCUAAGAAUCCUCGGAGAUUCUUCCAUUCUCUCAGAAAGGUGCAAAACUGAUAGUUUCAGGCUUUCCCAC
rnacentral:lncRNA from 1 species